rnacentral:rRNA from 1 species
GCAAAGAGGUCACACCCGUUCCCAUACCGAACACGGAAGUUAAGCUCUUUAGCGCCGAUGGUAGUUGGGGGCUUCCCCCUGUGAGAGUAGGAC